GAGGCAGGGAUCAGCCAGAUACCAAGAUAUCACAGACACACAGGGAAAAAGAUCAUCCUGAAAUUUGCUCAGAUUAGGAACCAUUAUUCAGUGUUCUGUUAUCAAUAAGACCAAGAAUAGGGGCUGAGGCUGAUCCAUUAUUCAGGUAGUAUUGGCAGCAUGACCAAAGGCGGUGCCAAGGAAGGGUACAAUGUCUCUGGAAACAAGCUCAAGCAUUUUCCCUCAACCCUGGAGUCUACUAGCACCAGCCAGACCUCUGUACCUCUGUGGCAGUGCAUC
rnacentral:lncRNA from 1 species